UACGUAGGGGCCUAGCGCUGUCCGGAUUUAUUGGGCGUAAAGAGCUCGUAGGCGGUUCGGCAAGUCGGAUGUGAAAUCUCCACGCUUAACGUGGAGGGGCCAUUCGAAACUGCCGUGACUCGAGUCCGGUAGGGGAGUGUGGAAUUCCCGGUGUAGCGGUGAAAUGCGCAGAUAUCGGGAGGAACAUCAGUGGCGAAAGCGACUUCCUGGACCAAUACUGACGCUCAUGUGCGAAAGCGUGGGGAGCAAACAGG
rnacentral:rRNA from 1 species